UACGUAGGGUGCGAGCGUUAAUCGGAAUUACUGGGCGUAAAGCGUGCGCAGGCGGUUCGUUAAGUUCGUUGUGAAAGCCCCGGGCUCAACCUGGGAACUGCAAUGGAAACUGGCGGGCUUGAGUGUGGCAGAGGGGGGUGGAAUUCCGCGUGUAGCAGUGAAAUGCGUAGAGAUGCGGAGGAACACCGAUGGCGAAGGCAGCUCGCUGGGACGUUACUGACGCUGAGACGCGAAAGCGUGGGGGAGCAAACAGG
rnacentral:rRNA from 1 species